rnacentral:rRNA from 1 species
UACGUAGGGACCAAGCGUUGUUCGGAUUUACUGGGCGUAAAGGGCGCGUAGGCGGCGUGGUAAGUCAGUUGUGAAAUCUCCGAGCUUAACUCGGAACGGCCAACUGAUACUGCUGUGCUAGAGUGCAGAAGGGGCAAUCAGAAUUCUUGGUGUAGCGGUGAAAUGCGUGGAUAUCAAGAGGAAUACCUGAGGUGAAGACGGGUUGCUAGGCUGACACUGACGCUGAGGCGCGAAAGCCAGGGGAGCAAACGGG